rnacentral:rRNA from 1 species
AGAGUUUGAUCAUGGCUCAGAACGAACGCUGGCGGCGUGGAUAAGACAUGCAAGUCGGACGCUGAUUAGAGGGUAGCAAUAUUCUCUAGUUGGAGUGGCGCAAGGGUGCGUAACACGUGGGUAAUCUGCCGUGAAGACUGGGAUAACUCGCUGAAAGGCGAGCUAAUACCGGGUAAGACUGUUGGGAGGCAUCUCCUGACAUUGGAAGCUGGGGACCGAAAGGCCUGGCGCUUCACGAUGAGCCCGCGGCCUAUCAGCUAGUUGGUGAGGUAACGGCUCACCAAGGCUAAGACGGGUAGCUGGUCUGAGAGGACGACCAGCCACACUGGAACUGAGACACGGUCCAGACACCUACGGGUGGCAGCAGUCGAGAAUUUUUCACAAUGGGCGCAAGCCUGAUGGAGCGACGCCGCGUGGGGGAUGAAGGGUUUCGAUCCGUAAACCCCUGUCAUUUGCGAACAAACCUUAUGCAAUAACACUGCAUGAGCUGAUUGUAGCGGAAGAGGAAGGGACGGCUAACUCUGUGCCAGCAGCCGCGGUAAUAC